CCCGCUGGCUCCAUCACAUGAGCAGAGCCCCGGACACGCCUUGCAGCAUCCACUCCGGCUGAUAAGGAGGACAAGAGCCAGCCGUGGCCGAGCCCCUGCUCCCCAGCGCGGAGGUUAGCCCGGGCUCCUAGGCCAUCGCUUCACCAAGGACAAGGCAAAGAAAAGGUGGCUGCUCUCUUGGAGGCAUCAGCCAGCCGGGCACUGGAUUUGUGAUGUAAGAAGAUCACGACCAGCUUGAUGCAGUCAAGCCCACUGAGGCAUUAAUAAAUUGUGAUCCUAUCA